AACGAACGCUGGCGGCAGGCUUAACACAUGCAAGUCGAGCGCCCCGCAAGGGGAGCGGCAGACGGGCGAGUAACGCGUGGGAAUCUACCCAUCUCUACGGAAUAACGCAUGGAAACGUGUGCUAAUACCGUAUACGUCCUUCGGGAGAAAGAUUUAUCGGAGAUGGAUGAGCCCGCGUUGGAUUAGCUAGUUGGUGGGGUAAAGGCCUACCAAGGCGACGAUCCAUAGCCGGUCUGAGAGGAUGAUCAGCCACACUGGGACUGAGACACGGCCCAGACUCCUACGGGAGGCAGCAGUGGGGAAUAUUGGACAAUGGGCGCAAGCCUGAUCCAGCCAUGCCGCGUGAGUGAUGAAGGCCCUAGGGUUGUAAAGCUCUUUCACCGGUGAAGAUAAUGACGGUAACCGGAGAAGAAGCCCCGGCUAACUUCGUGCCAGCCGCCGCCGUAAGAC
rnacentral:rRNA from 1 species